rnacentral:rRNA from 1 species
AUUGAACGCUGGCGGCAGGCUUAACACAUGCAAGUCGAACGAUGAAGAAGAGCUUGCUCUUCGGAUUAGUGGCGAACGGGUGAGUAACACGUGACUAACCUGCCCCUUUCUCUGGGAUAACGCUCCGAAAGGAGUGCUAAUACCGGAUACUCACAUCGAGGCACAUGCCUUGAUGUGGAAAGUUUUUCGGAAAGGGAUGGAGUCGCGGCCUAUCAGCUUGUUGGUGAGGUAACGGCUCACCAAGGCGACGACGGGUAGCCGGCCUGAGAGGGCGACCGGCCACACUGGGACUGAGACACGGCCCAGACUCCUACGGGAGGCAGCAGUGGGGAAUAUUGCACAAUGGGCGAAAGCCUGAUGCAGCGACGCCGCGUGAGGGAUGAAGGUCUUCGGAUUGUAAACCUCUUUCAGUAGGGACGAAGCGAAAGUGACGGUACCUAAAGAAGAAGCACCGGCUAACUACGUGCCAGCCGCCGCCGUAACAC